GCCUGCCGAGAUUGGCUUUAGGACAAGGGACAAGCAAGAAUGGGUGAGAAAAUCACAGAGACAUAAAGGAGAAGGAUCUGCAUGUAAGAGAAAACAGACUGUCUGACUUUAAUUUGGCUCUUACGGAACUGUCAGCCAGUCCAAAGUGCUCAAAAGUUGUUUCAGUUUCAGAAGAAACUCACCUGUAAAGUAUACCUUGAUGUAUGAAUCUUUAACAAUUGGC